rnacentral:rRNA from 1 species
AUUGAACGCUGGCGGCAGGCCUAACACAUGCAAGUGGAGCGGAUGAAGGGAGCUUGCUCCUGGAUUCAGCGGCGGACGGGUGAGUAAUGCCUAGGAAUCUGCCUGGUAGUGGGGGAUAACGUCCGGAAACGGGCGCUAAUACCGCAUACGUCCUGAGGGAGAAAGUGGGGGAUCUUCGGACCUCACGCUAUCAGAUGAGCCUAGGUCGGAUUAGCUAGUUGGUGGGGUAAAGGCCUACCAAGGCGACGAUCCGUAACUGGUCUGAGAGGAUGAUCAGUCACACUGGAACUGAGACACGGUCCAGACUCCUACGGGAGGCAGCAGUGGGGAAUAUUGGACAAUGGGCGAAAGCCUGAUCCAGCCAUGCCGCGUGUGUGAAGAAGGUCUUCGGAUUGUAAAGCACUUUAAGUUGGGAGGAAGGGCAGUAAGUUAAUACCUUGCUGUUUUGACGUUACCAACAGAAUAAGCACCGGCUAACUUCGUG